rnacentral:rRNA from 1 species
GAUGAACGCUGGCGGCGUGCCUAACACAUGCAAGUCGAACGGACUUACAUUGAAGCCUAGCGAUAUGUAAGUUAGUGGCGGACGGGUGAGUAACGCGUGGGUAACCUGCCCUGUACCGGGGGACAACAGUUGGAAACGACUGCUAAUACCGCAUAAGCGCACAGCAUCGCAUGAUGCAGUGUGAAAAACUCCGGUGGUACAGGAUGGACCCGCGUCUGAUUAGCUAGUUGGUGAGGUAACGGCUUACCAAGGCAACGAUCAGUAGCCGACUUGAGAGAGUGAUCGGCCACAUUGGGACUGAGACACGGCCCAAACUCCUACGGGAGGCAGCAGUGGGGAAUAUUGCACAAUGGGGGAAACCCUGAUGCAGCGACGCCGCGUGAAGGAAGAAGUAUUUCGGUAUGUAAACUUCUAUCAGCAAGGAAGAAAANGACGGUACUUGACUAAGAAGCCCGGCUAAAUACGUG